AGCAGCCGCGGUAAUUCCAGCUCCAAUAGCGUAUAUUAAAGUUGUUGCAGUUAAAAAGCUCGUAGUUGAAUUUCGGGAUUGACGUGAUGGUCGUGCCUUAAGGGGUAUGAACUGUCGCAGUUGAUUUCUCACCUUCUGGAGAAGCAUGAUGUCCUUAAUUGGGUGUCAUGUGGAACCAGGACCUUUACCUUGAAAAAAUUAGAGUGUUUAAAGCAGGCAUUUUGCUCGAAUACAUUAGCAUGGAAUAAUAGAAUAGGACGGCAUGGUUCUAUUUUGUUGGUUUCUAGGAUCACCGUAAUGAUUAAUAGGGAUAGUUGGGGGCAUUAGUAUUCAAUUGUCAGAGGUGAAAUUCUUGGAUUUAUUGAAGACUAACUACUGCGAAAGCAUUUGCCAAGGAUGUUUUCAUUAAUCAAGAACGAAAGUUAGGGGAUCGAAGACGAUCAGAUACCG
rnacentral:rRNA from 1 species